rnacentral:rRNA from 1 species
GUGCCAGCAGCCGCGGUAAGACGAACCGUGCAAACGUUGUUCGGAAUCACUGGGCUUAAAGGGCGCGUAGGCGGGCGGCCAAGUCAGGGGUGAAAUCUUUCGGCUCAACCGGAAAAUUGCCUUUGAAACUGGCUGUCUCGAGGGAGGUAGGGGCAUGUGGAACUUCCGGUGGAGCGGUGAAAUGCGUUGAUAUCGGAAGGAACGCCGGUGGCGAAAGCGACGUGCUGGACCUCUUCUGACGCUGAGGCGCGAAAGCUAGGGGAGCGAACGGGAUUAGAUACCCCGGUAGUCC